rnacentral:hammerhead_ribozyme from 1 species
GUACUGAUGAAGAGUCCCAAACUAGUUGGAUGAAACAGCUGUCCAGUAC